UAUUAGCACCAAGUGAGGCUGCAGCACCAGCACAAAGUGAGGCUUCAGCAGCAUCAUCAGCAUCCAUAGAGGCAGCACAGGCUCUUAUAGAUAUAAAGAUUGCUGCAGCAACUAUUCCAGAGAUGCCUCCUUUAUCUCCAGUUAUCACUGUUGAGGCCCAACUUGAGCCUCAGACUGCUCAGCCGGUCCAGGAGGCAGUAGCUCCUGUGGUUGCGCCCACCCCAGCUGAAGCACCCCCAGCAUCAGCUGAAGUGGUGACUCCAACUGCUGCCUCUGAGGGUACAGAGAGUGUAACAGCCAAAAAGGAAGACUGAGUCAAGAGAAGAGGUACACCAAAAUGAGAAAACCCCCAAAGCUACCAUUGUGUGGAAACUGGAAGAAAAAAACAAGACAAAGCAAUAAAUGCAAUUUUCAGUAUUGUCAUCAGCGCUGACCAAACUGUACACCAGAUACAUUAAUGUGCAUGGUGCCUUAACAUGUCAUUUUUCCUACGUUUGUAAAUAUAAACCUUUAUACAUUUUUUUUCUAUUGAGACCUUAAGUGCCUGGAGCCACAUACUCUACAUGCAGGCCUAUGCAAGGAAAUGCUAUAAAAACACAUAGGACGGGUUAGAUGAAACAAGAGGGUGCAAUAUUUUGUGAAAUCUGAGAACUCUUGUUGUGACAGUGUGAUGAACUAGGGGAGGAUGCUUGCUUAGUAAAUCCUUGACUAUUUAAAAUAGCUGCUUAUGAGGAAUAAAAGCCAAACACAACUGUGAAUAAAGUUAUGCAAAAACACCAAA